AGGACGAACGCUGGCGGCGCGCUUAAUACAUGCAAGUCGAGCGAGAACCGGACCUUCGGGUCCGGGGAAAGCGGCGAACGGGUGAGUAACACGUGGGUAAUCUGCCCUCGGUACUGGGAUAGCCCGGGGAAACCCGGAUUAAUACCGGAUAGCCUUUCGAGCUCUUGGGCUCGUUAGAAAAUGGUGGCUUCGGCUUCCGACUGAGGAUGAGCCCGCGGCGGAUUAGCUUGUUGGUGAGGUAAUGGCUCACCAAGGCCCCGAUCCGUAGCUGGUCUGAGAGGACGAUCAGCCACACUGGGACUGAGACACGGCCCAGACUCCGUACGGGAGGCAGCAGUAGGGAAUCUUGCGCAAGUGGGACGAAAGCCUAGACCGCAGCGACGCCGCGUG
rnacentral:rRNA from 1 species